rnacentral:sRNA from 1 species
GAGACAGAAAGAUUGUCUAGGUUCAAGAGUAUCCUGGGCCAUAUAGAGAAUUCUAGGCCAGCCUGGAUUAUACAGCCAGCUCUCCUCCCAAGUUUAAUGAAAAAUUUCGGUUUGCAAGUUCAGAGAAGGUGAGCCAUGUCGAGGCUUCUUAGGCAUUGCAGGAUGGAGGGUACAGCCAUUUAGCUUUGAUUGUGGUAGUUAGCUGUGCAGGCUUAGGCAAACAUGCUGAAGAGCCUUAGGGAGAGAAUAUGGUAUAGACACCUGUGUCUGCUAUUAGUUCUGGUUCUUGUCCCCACAGCUGUGGCCCUCACCUCCCCUGAACCACCUUAUCCUGGUUCUGUGACUCAUUAGCACUAAAGGUAGCAGGAAGAAGGCAGGGGAAUGCCCAGAGGGAACAACUUUUCAUCCACCCUGAUGGACUGGGAAACUGGUCCUAGAUUCAUCCUCCCCCACACCUAUCUCCUCCUCUCCCUGCUCAAUGAUCUCUGCCAGGAGGAAGUGUCAGAGGUCACACCUCUCUCCACAGCAUUUCAACUUCACAGUUUUUCUGUCAGUGUUUUGACAAAAACAUUAACCUAGCAAAGAGGACCUUCUGGUUCUGCUGGGACAUUUUCUGCUGGUUCAGGAGUUGUUUAGAGAAAUAGUUCAGGAGGGAAGAAAACACUUUGUGUUUAACAGGGUAUAGAGUAAUAGUUAGGGUAGGACUGUUGUUGUCAAGUUUGAAUCUUGGCCAUGCUAAGGCAACUUAUUUCACCCUCAAGUUUCUGAUUUUCAUUUAUACAUGUAUUGCCAGGAUUUGUUGUUAGUAUAUGUUAUGUUUUGAGUGCCUGGAUUAGUCUGUUUCUUAGAAGACAAUUACGGCCAUCAUUACUAAUCUUUAGAGGAUUUAAAACAUAGCAAACUGGAGGAUGGUGGGGGGGAGUGAACAGCUGGGCUGGAAAACAGAGAGACUGAAAACAGAAAGUUUCAUUAAAAAGCUUUUACCUCCUGACUCCUUUUCUGCUUGAUGAAGUUUGAUGAACAUUUGUUUUUGUAAAGCCAAAGGCAUGGAUUUCUUUUAAACGUUCUAGAACUUUCAAAUUCUUCUAACAAUCUCCUAAAAUAUUCAGUGUGAGUUCUCUCUAUCUAAAGAGAUUUAAAGGCACGAAUCAAAAGUUUCCUCAAAGAGAUUUUGUGUUACAGAUGUGUUUCUGAGUGGCCUUUUGUUGGGGGUUGUAUUUUCCUGGCCCAGGAAGAGCACACAGUUAUUGGAAAGUGGGUCUAUGUACAGUUUGAAACCUGAGGAGUGGGCUAUGGCCCAGCACAAAACUGUAAACUGAUCUAAAACCUUCAGAGAGUUUUCUUUUGCAACUCAGUCAUGGUUCUUGAAGCGUGAGCUUUGUGACAGUGUGUCACAGUGUCAAAGGUUGUGCGUGGCUGUUUAAGAGCUCAGAGAGGCCUGAAAUGGAACCAGUCACUGGGAACUGAGGGUAACAGCAUAACCCAGGAGGGACAUAAUCUGUGGUAUUUAAUCAGCUGCCAAAUGUAGUCAAUGCUGACAUCUAAAUGCUAGAAUGUUUAUGAAAAAGACAUUCAGGGGGAGAUUGUCCAACUGGAAGCUUUCAAGUCAUAGAGGAGAAAAAUACCUUUAAAUUUUAUUUAAAAAAUAUUUAUGAGUGUUCAUGUGUACAAGUUCAUGUGUGGGAAAGCCUAGCCCUUAAGAAAGAAUGUUUGGUGAGCUGUGUGAAGCAUAGAAACAUGUAAUUGUUAUUAUUUAUGUUCAGAGGAAACCCUGGUGUCCCGGAGGUUUAUCCAGCAGCUGUGGGCUUACUCUGGGCAGCUGUUGACAUGGGGCGGAGACCUUCUAGUACCAGCUCAAGGAUAUGGAGACUUUGAUGAUUUUAAUCUGGAGCAUGCGCUGAAAGAAACUUCCUCAGUAAAGCGUGACUCAAACAAACAAGUCCACCAAGCAAGCACAAGUGGUCGGCCGUGCACCACACUGACAAUCUUGCCUUCAGAAAAGUACAGGCAUAUGACACUAGCUGUUCCUCCAUCCACCUGUUUGUUCUGUUGUGCAGGCUUGUGUCAUCUCAUCAUACGUGUGUCAUCUUCCUUUUUCAUUUAGUUUAUGUCGAGCCCACGAGAGAACGUGUAUCUGCCUUACCCUUUUUUCUGCUGUACAAAAAGAGAGCUCCGACCAGUUUCAUUCCUCUCGCUGUUUUGUUUUGAGACAGGGUCUCUUGAUUUAGCCAGGGUUGUCCUGAAAUUCUCUGUGCUGACAAGACCGCCUUUGACUUGGGUCCAGUGCUAGAGCAACAGUGACUCUUGGGCACUGAUGUGCAUUUCUAGCUUCAGAACCCAUGACUUUUUAUGAUGCUUCAGUGUGAUCCCCUCAAUGGCCUCGGGGACCGAUACCGAGACCCUUCUCAGGAUGUGACUUCUGUAAACCAUUAAGCAGCCGCUGUGUUUUACAAUCUGCUUCCUUUUUCCUCCUUUCUCUCUUCAGAGAGCCACUUUAGCACCACGACUAGAAGGACAGGAACAACCAGAGCCCCAUCAAAUCCAGCAGAACUUGAUGGGUUUGACUUGGAAGAUGCCUUGGAUGAUCGGACCGAUCUAGAUGGCCCCAAAAAGAAAAGUACAGGAGAGGGAGGAGGUUGGUCAGACAAGGUUCUCGAAGAUAUCUUGGGAGGCGCGGGAUACAAACCUGACAAGAAUAAAGGUAGGAAUGUUGCUUUGUCUGGCAACACAUGGAUUCUCCUUAAAAUGCUAACCAUCCGGCUGCCAGGUAAACAUGUCACUCUCAGCCUCUGGCAAAUCAGGCUUCGACAUGUGCACUUGCCGUGUGCAGUGGGCUCUCAUUCCUGCGGGUGGGGACUCAUUUGUGAGCCAUCCUGAGAUGCUACCCAUUUGCUCUGUUGCUCUUUAAGCCUGAGCUGGUGUCCCCACUACCUAGAUGCACCUCGUAAGCCAGUUUUCCAUGCAGUGUGAGGGUUCAAACUUAGCAUGGCACACAUUUUAAAGAAGCCCUUAGCAAAUCAGAUGUUUACAAAAUUCCUUUGGAUUCCAUUUCCCCUUCCCAGGAAGAUUCACAUUUCCCUCCUAUUGGCUCCCAGGAAGUGGAAACUCUCCUUGGGGUGUAUCGUGUGAGCGAAGAAACUAUUUUCAAUUAAAAAGACA